rnacentral:misc_RNA from 1 species
GAUGAAGAACGUAGCGAAAUGCGAUAAGUAGUGUGAAUUGCAGAAUUCAGUGAAUCAUCGAAUCUUUGAACGCACAUUGCGCCCCUUGGUAUUCCAUGGGGCAUGCCUGUUCGAGCGUCAUUUGUACCUUCAAGCUCUGCUUGGUGUUGGGUGUUUGUCUCGCCUCUGCGUGUAGACUCGCCUCAAAACAAUUGGCAGCCGGCGUAUUGAUUUCGGAGCGCAGUACAUCUCGCGCUUUGCACUCAGAACGACGACGUCCAAAAGUACAUUUUUACACUCUUGACCUCGGAUCAGGUAGGGAUACCCGCUGAACUUAAGCAUAUCAAUAAGCGGAGGA